rnacentral:tRNA from 1 species
GCCUCUAUAGUCUAGAGGUCAGGACAUCUCUUUUUCACGGAGAAAGCAGGGAUUCGAUUUCCCUUGGGGGUG